CACGUAGGCACCAAGCGUUGUCCGGAUUUAUUGGGCGUAAAGAGCUCGUAGGCGGUUGAGUAAGUCGGGUGUGAAAACUCUGGGCUUAACCCAGAGCCGCCACCCGAUACUGCUCUGACUUGAGUUCGGUAGGGGAGCAGGGAAUUCCUAGUGUAGCGGUGAAAUGCGCAGAUAUUAGGAGGAACACCGGUGGCGAAGGCGGCACUCUGGGCCGGUACUGACGCUGAGGAGCGAAAGCGUGGGGAGCGAACAGG
rnacentral:rRNA from 1 species